rnacentral:rRNA from 1 species
ACAUGCCUACAAAAUAGAAUUAAUGCACCAUAUCCCAUUAUAACUCCAUAGUUAAGUGCACUCAAGAUAGAGUAAUACUGGGAUGGGUGACACCCGAGAAGUCCUAGUGUUUUACAUGCA